CACGGAGGAUGCAAGCGUUAUCCGGAAUGAUUGGGCGUAAAGCGUCCGCAGGUGGCAAUGUAAGUCUGCUGUCAAAGCGUCUGGCUCAACCAGAUAAAGGCAGUGGAAACUACAUAGCUAGAGUAAGGUAGGGGUAGAGGGAAUUCCUGGUGUAGCGGUGAAAUGCGUAGAGAUCAGGAAGAACACCGGUGGCGAAAGCGCUCUGCUGGACCUUAACUGACACUGAGGGACGAAAGCUAGGGGAGCGAAUGGG
rnacentral:rRNA from 1 species